GCAGACUCACUCUGUUCCUUGCUGCUCCGUCCAGCCUGGUACUUUUUCUGUCUGCUACACUGACUGCAGAGUGGAACUUCCACCGACCUCGCUGUAGGCUGGUGUUUUCAUAUUCUGCUACACACUG